GAGUAUGAAGCCAUUAGGGAGGCUAUAGUUUUGCAAAGGCUAUUAAGGAGUGUGUUCCCAUACUUU
rnacentral:tRNA from 1 species